AAAAUUCUUCAGGGCAGGGUGCAAUUCCCGACCGGUGGUAAUAGUCCACGAGCGAAUUUUUUUAAAAUUUGCUGAUAUGGUGUAAUUCCAUAACCGACAGUGAUAUUACAAGUGUAAUAAAGUCUGGAUGGGAGAAGAAUAAA
rnacentral:ncRNA from 2 species